rnacentral:rRNA from 1 species
AACGAACGCUGGCGGCAUGCCUAACACAUGCAAGUCGAACGAGACCUUCGGGUCUAGUGGCGCACGGGUGCGUAACGCGUGGGAAUCUGCCCUUGGGUUCGGAAUAACAGUUAGAAAUGACUGCUAAUACCGGAUGAUGUCUUCGGACCAAAGAUUUAUCGCCCAGGGAUGAGCCCGCGUAGGAUUAGCUAGUUGGUGGGGUAAAGGCCUACCAAGGCGACGAUCCUUAGCUGGUCUGAGAGGAUGAUCGGCCACACUGGGACUGAGACACGGCCCAGACUCCUACGGGAGGCAGCAGUGGGGAAUAUUGGACAAUGGGCGAAAGCCUGAUCCAGCAAUGCCGCGUGAGUGAUGAAGGCCUUAGGGUUGUAAAGCUCUUUUACCCGAGAUGAUAAUGACAGUAUCGGGAGAAUAAGCUCCGGCUAACUCCGUGCCAGCAGCCGCGGUAAU